rnacentral:rRNA from 1 species
CCUACGGGUGGCAGCAGUGAGGAAUAUUGGUCAAUGGGCGCGAGCCUGAACCAGCCAAGUAGCGUGAAGGAUGAAGGCUCUAUGGGUUGUAAACUUCUUUUAUAUAGGAAUAAAGUGAGGCACGUGUGCCUUUUUGUAUGUACCAUAUGAAUAAGCAUCGGCUAACUCCGUGCCAGCAGCCGCGGUAAUACGGAGGAUCCGAGCGUUAUCCGGAUUUAUUGGGUUUAAAGGGUGCGUAGGUGGUUAAUUAAGUCAGUUGUGAAAGUUUGUGGCUCAACCAUAAAAUUGCCGUUGAUACUGGCAGACUUGAGUACAGUUGAGGUAGGCGGAAUGCGUGGUGUAGCGGUGAAAUGCAUAGAUAUCACGAAGAACUCCGAUUGCGAAGGCAGCUUACUAAACUAUAACUGACAUUGAAGCACGAAAGCGUGGGUAUCAAACAGGAUUAGAUACCCCUGUAGUC